rnacentral:rRNA from 1 species
UGGGGAAUAUUGGACAAUGGGCGAAAGCCUGAUCCAGCCAUGCCGCGUGUGUUAAGAAGGUCUUCGGAUUGUAAAGCACUUUAAGUUGGGAGGAAGGGCAGUAAGCGAAUACCUUGCUGUUUUGACGUUACCGACAGAAUAAGCACCGGCUAACUCUGUGCCAGCAGCCGCGGUAAUACAGAGGGUGCAAGCGUUAAUCGGAAUUACUGGGCGUAAAGCGCGCGUAGGUGGUUCGUUAAGUUGAAUGUGAAAGCCCUGGGCUCAACCUGGGAACUGCAUCCAAAACUGGCGAGCUAGAGUAGGGCAGAGGGUGGUGGAAUUUCCUGUGUAGCGGUGAAAUGCGUAGAUAUAGGAAGGAACACCAGUGGCGAAGGCGACCACCUGGGCUCAUACUGACACUGAGGUGCGAAAGCGUGGGGAGCAAACAGG